rnacentral:lncRNA from 1 species
UAGCGGAUCCGGUUUUAACGUUCCCGACCCGAAUAUAUGCGGACAAAAGUUCUCAACUUUUUGGGAUCUUAAUUUCUCCAUGAAUAUUUUGUAGACAUAUGGAGAGAUGAAAAGGUCUGAAAUUUGAGAAAAUUAGAAAGAAAUGCGUUUAAAUAUUUUUAUUUUUCUUCAAAAUUUUGUAAGAUAUGAAUAUAUAAAAUUGGGAAAACUAUAGGGUUUGGUUAAAUUGAAAUACGGGAAUGGAAUGUUGUAAUAUCAUAAUAUGGGAAUUGGAUUAUUAUGGGAAAGUGGUUGGAGGGAAGGCUGGGAAAGGAGGUUUAAAAUCAAUAUGAGAGUAAUGUGGAAUGUUUUGCUGCUCUGUUAAUGGUGUUAGUGAUGACUAAUGACGAGGAUGAUGAAAGAGGAGCUUUUUCAGUUCCUUCUUGUAAGAUAAUUCUAUGAUAAAUACUCAGUAAUCAAGAGCUAUAAAUUUAGGUAAUGUAUAUGUGUGUUCAGCUUAAAGUUUUCUCUAUGUUUCUCCUCUUUACUUGUUGCAUAUUAGAUUCUUUCUUGACCAUGAUUCACACAGCCAUGGAACCUCUUCAUUAAAGCCAAAGUAACAUGAAACUUUAGGCACAUGAAUCUACGGGACCAGCAAAUUUUAGGCCAUCUUCUGAUAGUCUUUUUCUAAAGCCAGAUUAUAAUAGAUGUUAUUUGGUUUCGGCAAAUAAUACUCCAGAUUAGGGGUGGACAUAAAAUCCGAAAAACCGAAUUUCGAACUGAACCGAAUUAAUUUGGUAUUUCGGUUUCGAUAUUUCAGUUUAUUUCGGUACAGAAAUUUCGAUAUUUCGGUAAUUCGAUACGGUAUACGGUAUUGGAUUAUUGAUAUUUCGAUAUUUCGGUAUACCGAAAUACAACAAUAGUUUAAUGAGGUGAGAUCAAUAUUUCGGUGUCCCGAAACGAAAGCAAAUCUCACUACUGUCAACUUGCUUCUAAAAUUUCUCGGACUUCGCAGAAAAGUCGGAGUCUUGGGAUUUAACUCUAUAUUGAAAGGUAGCUAUACGCAUCAUCCCAGAUCAAAGGCAAGACUUUCCUCUGGCUAAGCAAAUUACUCCCAUAUAUUGGUGCCACUAUUAAUAGUAUCUCACAAAACCAUGGCGCCAUUCUAAAUUGGCUACCAGCAUUGGCCUUAAUGUAAAAAGUCGAUGUAACUUUUGGAAUACUCUAGAUCUUAUAGGCUCAAGCACAUAAAUGUAGAUAUCAAACGAAUGACAAAAGAUUCCGUGAACAACUUUAGAGGAUCAAGAAAAAGAAAGCACAAUAUUAGAGUAAUUGAAGGUAAAAUAAUGUUGGCGCCAGAUUUUGCUAGUUAAUGGAGGGGGAGACAGUGAAGAUUUGGUUUAAACCGAAACCGUACCGAAAUAGUAGCGAACCAAAAUAAGAAAUACCGAACCGUACCGAAAUAUUACGGUACGGUAUUUGGUAUAUACAAUUGAUAAACCGAAUACCGAAAUACCGAACCAAAAUUCUUAAAUACCGAACCGAAAUACCGAAUGCCCACCCCUACUCCAGAUAAGUUUGGCCAAGAUUAAACCUCUCGUCCACUCUCUACUCAAGAAGCCUCAUUUACCCGUAUUAUUCCUCCUCCUCCUCCGCCAAUUAGAAAUAGCUGAAACCAUCUCUCUUGCACUUUCAUCUAAAGGUGUCAAACGGGCCUUGCUGGCCCGGUUCCGGAAUGGCCCGAACCGAUUUUAGACCGGAUCGGUAGUAAGGGGCCCGGACAAGGCUGGGUUGGGAUGGGAACCGGCCUGUGUCGUGUAAAAGUUUGAUGCCGGCAAAUCGAACUGGUACGACCCGGUAAGGUCAUGCCAUUUGGAAACCGGUUAACCGGACCGAUUCAACGGUAGUUCGAUGUUUAUUUAUUUAUAAAGUUGAUCGUUGGCAACGGUCAGCUGCCAUUUUGACCGUUGCCCAAUGGCUAAUUUGCAAAAAUAGCCCUUUUUGGCAUUUGUUUUUCAAAAAUAAUACUUGUAUUAUUUAUUUAAUGCCCCGGAAAAUUUCGCUAAGUAAUUUAGGAUUUCGUGGUACCAGGUAGGCUAAUUAUAAUAUUUUACGUGCUAUUAACAUGAUGGACAUCAAUUGAAUUUGGUAAAUAAGUGUAUAAGUCAUAUAAUUAGUAAUUUGGGGUCCAAGGAAAGGCCUAAGUCUAAGUCAAAUUGGAAAAUUACAAAAUAGGCUAAAAAUUCCAAAUGAGUUCGCACAAGUACAAACUUUGGACGAGCAUACAUAAAUAUAUAUAAGGUGUUAUGUGAUGAACAACCUAUCAAAUGAAAGAUUUUCGAGUCUAGUUAAUAACGCUUCAAACCGCUCGUCAUUUGGACAUUCCUACACAAAGUUAUGAUCAAAUUACCAAAGGCUGGAUUUGCAAUCAAUUUCGUGAUCGCAAAAAGACAUAAAUAUACAUAAUCGCAUAAUGAUUAUGCUGCAAGUCUGCUGCCCACAUAUCGAUUAUGCUAUAGUAUAAUUGCACCACAUAAUUGACUUCGGGGGUCAUUUUUAGAAAUUUUCAUAUCCGAACCCACUUUGAUAAAUAAGCUUUGGGGCUUCAUUUGAGGCUAUUUUAUACUAAAUCUAGAGAGAGGUGAGAGCAUUUUAGAGAGAGAAGGAUGAAGCCUAACAUUAUAACCAUUUAAUCUUUCAUCAAUCUUCAAGAAUCAAGAAAACCAAUCACAAGAUCUUCAUUUAAGAGGUAAGUUUCUAUACACUAGACUUUAAUUUCGAGUUUUGGGUAUAAGAUGUGUUAUUGAGGUAUGAUUCUUGGGUGUGCUAGUAUUAUUGGAGAAGAAGAAGAACAAAGCACAGAAAUUGGAAAUAAAAUCAUUCUAACCAUACAAACGAAUAACAAAACAAACAAAAAAA